rnacentral:rRNA from 1 species
GCGGCGUGCUACACAUGCAGUCGAACGAUGAAGCCCUUCGGGGUGGAUUAGUGGCGAACGGGUGAGUAACACGUGGGCAAUCUGCCCUGCACUCUGGGACAAGCCCUGGAAACGGGGUCUAAUACCGGAUAUGACCGUCCAUCGCAUGGUGGAUGGUGUAAAGCUCCGGCGGUGCAGGAUGAGCCCGCGGCCUAUCAGCUAGUUGGUGAGGUAGUGGCUCACCAAGGCGACGACGGGUAGCCGGCCUGAGAGGGCGACCGGCCACACUGGGACUGAGACACGGCCCAGACUCCUACGGGAGGCAGCAGUGGGGAAUAUUGCACAAUGGGCGAAAGCCUGAUGCAGCGACGCCGCGUGAGGGAUGACGGCCUUCGGGUUGUAAACCUCUUUCAGCAGGGAAGAAGCGAAAGUGACGGUACCUGCAGAAGAAGCGCCGGCUAACUACGUGCCAGCAGCCGCGGUAAUACGUAGGGCGCAAGCGUUGUCCGGAAUUAUUGGGCGUAAAGAGCUCGUAGGCGGCUUGUCACGUCGGUUGUGAAAGCCCGGGGCUUAACCCCGGGUCUGCAGUCGAUACGGGCAGGCUAGAGUUCGGUAGGGGAGAUCGGAAUUCCUGGUGUAGCGGUGAAAUGCGCAGAUAUCAGGAGGAACACCGGUGGCGAAGGCGGAUCUCUGGGCCGAUACUGACGCUGAGGAGCGAAAGCGUGGGGAGCGAACAGGAUUAGAUACCCUGGUAGUCCACGCCGUAAACGGUGGGCACUAGGUGUGGGCAACAUUCCACGUUGUCCGUGCCGCAGCUAAC